AACAUAACAACGAGAUAUGAGUUUACAGAACAGCGGUGUCUUUAGGUUAAAUUGGUUACCCUCGAAUUCUCAUUAUUCUCAUCUCAUGCUGUUGUCUUUCUCUUGUUUUCUCGUUUGGCUUCUGAGGCUUCUCUGCUAAGAAGAAGAAUUGUCGUUCAAGUGAUGAGAAAAAACUGCAACAAUAUGAUGGAUUCAUUCCAUGAUUCAUGGUAUUUAAGUCUCUGAUGAUUGAUUCUGUUUAGUUUCUUCUGCUCUGAUUUCCUUUUGUUCUUUUUGAAUUUUUUCUGUCAGUUAAAUGCUUUUUUUAUUAAAAAAAUUAAAUAGAAUUUUUUUGAGAUAUGAUGAGCAAUCUUAAUUGGUCCGUGUUUCUGAUUUAACCGUGACUGAUACCCAUUAAGCACACUCUGAUCUCUUAAUUUUCUUUUUCUAAAAUUUAUUUUCCAGGUUUCGGAUUUUUUUGGUUUCAUUUCUAAGGAAAUCUAAUGAGCUCUGUGAUUAUAUGCCCGAUUUGGGCUAUAUACGCUAUUCUGAUUCAUAACAUGAGCAGAAAUCUGAGAAAUGAGAGCUAUUUCUACUGCAUUUUCAGUUUUGUUUCGUUUUUCUUUAUGUACUGUUUACUAAUUUUAAUAUUGAAUAAUUGAAAUGUAUAUACAAGCUUCUGCAGUGAUGAAUUUAUGAAACAAUUCACAUGUCAGACUUCAGAGAUUUUUUCAAUCAGUGAGAAGAAAAUUCAUAUUUCUGAGCAGAGGUGAUAUUUUUUUGUUUCGAAUUUUUAUUGCUUGUUGGAUGCUAAUUAAAUUAUGUAUAUUUUAUUUCUGACUGCAGAUUUAAGUACAUAGCAUUGCAGGAGAAAUUCUAUCUAUGGAUCUGGUUAAACAUUAAAGAAUGAUUAAGUGCGAUUAAAGUUUGACCUGAAUCUGAUCAAAACAUUGAACUUGGUUUGAUUUUUCGGGUUUAAAUAUUUUUUUUUGUUAAAAUAUAAUUUUUUUUCCCAAUCUUAAAAAAUAAAUUGAAAUUUGAUUAAAAUUAAAAUUGAAUUGAAGUUAGAAUAAGGGGGUUCUUAAAUUUGAAAUUUUCAUUAAGGAUUGAAACUGGAAUAAAUCGACUUCUGCUUUAGGGCAUCCCUAGACUUCCAUAAAGAAUGCCCUAAUUUCUAUUGGAGUAAGAACUGAUCUAGUUUCCAAAUUUGUUGCCAAAAUCAUUUUUUGGAAUUUGGAGAGGUGUUAACUUGAAUUUGAAAUUCUAUUAAAUAUCACUUUUGGGUUGUUGUAAAUUUCACAAAAUAUGAUAAUUCUAACUAUAAAUUUAGUUACUACAGAUUUAGAUAUCAGAAAAUGAUCUAUAUGUUGUAGGGGUAACAGCUUGUUUUCUGAUGGCUUUUCCCUGCCCUACCUGACAGAGGACGGACUUGUCUAGUCCAAAAAGUGUUUCUCCCUUUCCGGUCUUUGAGACUGGGUUGACCUGCAGGUCACAAAUGAAGCUCUGGUCUGGCAAACAUUUUUAGGCUAAGGAAUGGGCGAUCCUGUUGCCGUCUCUCUUCAAGAAGCUAAAAUUAACAUUGGCAAAAGAUCGUGAUAAAAUGUGGGUAUUAUGAAUGAUGUCUUGGAUGUUUGGAGGUGCGGGAGCUCCUUGGAGAGAGUGGAUAAAGACACCUAUGUUCCUAGCCAGGAUGAAAAGCUUUUCGACUUGCCAAACCUUUUUAGAUCAACGGAUCUGAUUGAGAGGCAAAGAUUCGGCACGACCAAUACACACAUCUGCUUAAAUGAUCUCUUGCUACUACUGCUAUUGCACCCCAAUUUCCUUUGCGAUCAGUUGCCGCAUCAAAGUUGAGCUUGAGAUAAUUUAAAAUGGGAGAGUUCCAAAUGGUGGGAGCAGAGAUUGCACACUCUGAGGUUGGGUUUUGACUUUGAGCUUUCAUAUAAUCCACAAAAUGAUUUGCUGCUAAAGAAAGAACCUCUUGAAAACUACAGCACUUCUGGUUAAAAAUGAACUGAUUCCAAAUGUGCCAUAAUACAAAAGCUGCAUGAAUGAUCAGACCUUUCCCCUCGUUCACAGUGCGGAGGGAUUUGGAAGUUUCAGAUCAGUAGUCCAUCAUGUUUGCACUUUGAAGCAGAGAUGAUUUAACUUGCAAGGGAGAGUGCCACCAAAUAGCAAAAGAUAUCCGGCAAGUAAAAAAUAGAUGGCGAGAGGUUUCAACUUGUCCACAGAAAAUGCAAUCCUCACUGAAAUCUUGGAAUUCAUCUAUAUAAGUUUGCAUUGACCGGCAACUUCUCUUUUAGUAAAUUCCAAAGAAAGAUCAAUAUCUUUUUAGGCAGGUUUAGCUUCCAAAAAUUCCUCCGAAAAAACGGCAUUGUUUCGUUGGGACAAUUGUCCUGGCCACUAGAAGAGGAAGAAUUAUUUUCUUCUUUAAGUUGAACUGCUAUUUUGUAUCCAGACUUGACUGAGUGCACCACCCUCUUGUAUGUCAGACUAUUCUGUCCUCUCUUCUAAAUCUGCUUAUUGGGAUAGCUAAAAUGUGUUUCGCAU
rnacentral:misc_RNA from 1 species